rnacentral:rRNA from 1 species
AGAAGCUUUGCGGAGUGCCUAGUAAGCAGUCGAGCGAGAAUCACGCUGUCCAAAGCUUCGGCAGCGGACUUGUGAUGUCUAGCGGCGAACGGUCGAGUAACACGUAAGCAACUUGCCCUGAAGUGGGGGAUAGCCCGCCGAAAGGCGGAUUAAUACCGCAUGUGGAUUUCCCCCCGCAUGGUUGGGGAUCUAAAGCAGCAAUGCGCUUCAGGAUGGGCUUGCGGCCUAUCAGCUAGUUGGUGGGGUAACGGCUCACCAAGGCGACGACGGGUAGCUGGUCUGAGAGGAUGGUCAGCCGGAUUGGGACUGAGAUACGGCCCAGACUCCUACGGGGGGCAGCAAUUAGGAAUAUUGCGCAAUGGGGGAAACCCUGACGCAGCGACGCCGCGUGAGCGAUGAAGUUUUUCGGAAUGUAAAGCUCUGUCCUGUGGGGACGAAGAAUGUGACGGUACCCACAGAGAAAGCCCCGGCUAACUACGUGCCAGCAGCCGCGGUAAUACGUGGGGGGCGAGCGUUGUCCGAAUUUACUGGGCGUAAAGCGCGUGUAGGUGGCUCUUUAAGUGAGAUGUGAAAUCCUGCAGCUCAACUGCAGAACUGCAUUUCAAACUGGAGGGCUUGAGUGUGGGAGAGGAAAGUGGAAUUCCUGGUGUAGCGGUGAAAUGCGUAGAUAUCAGGAGGAACACCCGUGGCGAAGGCGGCUUUCUGGCCCACCACUGACACUGAGACGCGAAAGCUAGGGGAGCGAACGGGAUUAGAUACCCCGGUAGUCCUAGCCGUAAACGAUGGAUACUAGGUGUUAGGGGUAUCGACCCCCCUAGUGCCGAAGCUAACGCAUUAAGUAUCCCGCCUGGGAGUACGGCCCGCAAGGUUG